rnacentral:rRNA from 1 species
GAGCGGCGGACUGGUGAGUAACGCGUGGAUAACCUGCCUCACACAGGGGGAUAACAGUUAGAAAUGACUGCUAAUACCGCAUAAGCGCACGGUACCGCAUGGUACAGUGUGAAAAACUCCGGUGGUGUGAGAUGGAUCCGCGUCUGAUUAGGUAGUUGGUGAGGUAACGGCCCACCAAGCCGACGAUCAGUAGCCGACCUGAGAGGGUGACCGGCCACAUUGGGACUGAGAUACGGCCCAGACUCCUACGGGAGGCAGCAGUGGGGAAUUUUGCGCAAUGGGGGAAACCCUGACGCAGCAACGCCGCGUGCGGGACGAAGGCCUUCGGGUUGUAAACCGCUUUCAGCAGGGAAGACAUAGACGGUACCUGCAGAAGAAGCUCCGGCUAACUACGUGCCAGCAGCCGCGGUAAUACGUAGGGGGCGAGCGUUAUCCGGAUUCAUUGGGCGUAAAGCGCGCGUAGGCGGCCGCCUAAGCGGAACCUCUAAUCCCGGGGCUCAACCUCGGGCCGGGUUCCGGACUGGGCGGCUCGAGUGCGGUAGAGGCAGGCGGAAUUCCCGGUGUAGCGGUGGAAUGCGCAGAUAUCGGGAAGAACACCGAUGGCGAAGGCAGCCUGCUGGGCCGCCACUGACGCUGAGGCGCGAAAGCUGGGGGAGCGAACAGGAUUAGAUACCCUGGUAGUCCCAGCCGUAAACGAUGGACGCUAGGUGGUGGGGGGACCAUCCCCCCGUGCCGCAACCCAACGCAUUAAAGCGUCCCCGCCUGGGGGAGUACGGCCGCAAGGGUAAAACUCAAAGGAAUUGGACGGGGAACCCCCACAAGCGGGGGGAGCAUGUGGUUUAAUUCGAAGCAACUCGAAGAACCUUACCAGGGCUUGACAUAUGGGUGAAGCGGGGGAGACCCCGUGGCCGAGAGGAGCCCAUACAGGUGGUGCAUGGCUGUCGUCAGCUCGUGUCGUGAGAUGUUGGGUUAAGUCCCGCAACGAGCGCAACCCCCGCCGCGUGUUGCCAUCGGGUGAUGCCGGGAACCCACGCGGGACCGCCGCCGUCAAGGCGGAGGAGGGCGGGGACGACGUCAAGUCAUCAUGCCCCUUAUGCCCUGGGCUGCACACGUGCUACAAUGGCCGGUACAGAGGGAUGCCACCCCGCGAGGGGGAGCGGAUCCCGGAAAGCCGGCCCCAGUUCGGAUUGGGGGCUGCAACCCGCCCCCAUGAAGUCGGAGUUGCUAGUAAUCGCGGAUCAGCAUGUCGCGGUGAAUGCGUUCCCGGGCCUUGCACUCACCGCCCGUCA